AGUGAACGCUGGCGGUAGGCCUAACACAUGCAAGUCGAACGGCAGCACAGUAAGAGCUUGCUCUUACGGGUGGCGAGUGGCGGACGGGUGAGGAAUACAUCGGAAUCUACUUUUUCGUGGGGGAUAACGUAGGGAAACUUACGCUAAUACCGCAUACGACCUACGGGUGAAAGCAGGGGAUCUUCGGACCUUGCGCGAUUGAAUGAGCCGAUGUCGGAUUAGCUAGUUGGCAGGGUAAAGGCCCACCAAGGCGACGAUCCGUAGCUGGUCUGAGAGGAUGAUCAGCCACACUGGAACUGAGACACGGUCCAGACUCCUACGGGAGGCAGCAGUGGGGAAUAUUGGACAAUGGGCGCAAGCCUGAUCCAGCCAUACCGCGUGGGUGAAGAAGGCCUUCGGGUUGUAAAGCCCUCUUGUUGGGAAAGAAAAGCAGCAGGUUAAUACCCCGCUGUUCUGACGGUACCCAAAGAAUAAGCACCGGCUAACUUCGUG
rnacentral:rRNA from 1 species